rnacentral:rRNA from 1 species
UGGGGAAUAUUGCACAAUGGGCGCAAGCCUGAUGCAGCCAUGCCGCGUGUGUGAAGAAGGCCUUCGGUUGUAAAGCACUUUCAGCGAGGAGGAAGGUGGUGAACUUAAUACGUUCAUCAAUUGACGUUACUCGCAGAAGAAGCACCGGCUAACUCCGUGCCAGCAGCCGCGGUAAUACGGAGGGUGCAAGCGUUAAUCGGAAUUACUGGGCGUAAAGCGCACGCAGGCGGUUUGUUAAGUCAGAUGUGAAAUCCCCGGGCUCAACCUGGGAACUGCAUUUGAAACUGGCAAGCUAGAGUCUCGUAGAGGGGGGCUAGAAUUCCAGGUGUAGCGGUGAAAUGCGUAGAGAUCUGGAGGAAUACCGGUGGCGAAGGCGGCCCCCUGGACGAAGACUGACGCUCAGGUGCGAAAGCGUGGGGAGCAAACAGAUUAGAUACCCUGGUAGUCCACGCUGUAAACGAUGUCGAUUUUGGAGGUUGUGCCCCUUGAGGCGUGGNUUCCGGAGCUAACG